rnacentral:rRNA from 1 species
UUGUAGUCUGCAACCCGACUACAUGAAGCUGGAAUCGCUAGUAAUCGCGGAUCAGAAUGCCGCGGUGAAUACGUUCCCGGGUCUUGUACACACCGCCCGUCACACCAUGGGAGUCGGAAAUGCCCGAAGUCUGUGACCCAACCUGAGAGGGAGGGAGCAGCCGAAGGCAGGUCUGAUGACUGGGGUGAAGUCGUAACAAGGUAUC